AACCGGAUUAGAUACCCUGGUAGUCCACGCCGUAAACGAUGUCGACUUGGAGGCUGUUCCCUUGAGGAGUGGCUUCCGGAGCUAACGCGUUAAGUCGACCGCCUGGGGAGUACGGCCGCAAGGUUAAAACUCAAAUGAAUUGACGGGGGCCCGCACAAGCGGUGGAGCAUGUGGUUUAAUUCGAUGCAACGCGAAGAACCUUACCUACUCUUGACAUCCAGAGAAUUUAGCAGAGAUGCUUUAGUGCCUUCGGGAACUCUGAGACAGGUGCUGCAUGGCUGUCGUCAGCUCGUGUUGUGAAAUGUUGGGUUAAGUCCCGCAACGAGCGCAACCCUUAUCCUUUGUUGCCAGCGCGUAAUGGCGGGAACUCAAAGGAGACUGCCGGUGAUAAACCGGAGGAAGGUGGGGAUGACGUCAAGUCAUCAUGGCCCUUACGAGUAGGGCUACACACGUGCUACAAUGGCGCAUACAAAGAGAAGCGACCUCGCGAGAGCAAGCGGACCUCAUAAAGUGCGUCGUAGUCCGGAUUGGAGUCUGCAACUCGACUCCAUGAAGUCGGAAUCGCUAGUAAUCGUAAAUCAGAAUGUUACGGUGAAUACGUUCCCGGGCCUUGUACACACCGCCCGUCACACCAUGGGAGUGGGUUGCAAAAGAAGUAGAUAGCUUAACCUUCGGGAGGGCGUUUACCACUUUGUGAUUCAUGACUGGGGUGAAGUCGUAACAAGGUAACCGUAGGGGAACCUGCGGCUGGAUCACCUCCUU
rnacentral:rRNA from 1 species